AGAAAAAAAAAAUACAUUUCACUGCCCUCUAUAGUUAUUAGAACGUAUCCUAAUUAACGUAUUAGGAAUUAUUAUAAACAUAUUAAAUGGGACAAAUAUAAUACGCCUUUCAAAGUAAUAAGGAAUUUCACAUUAGUAAGGAAGAAGAGAAUUUAAAGAAAGGAAAUAUGAAAUUUUUAUCCUUACAACGCAGCUUUAAAUAUUUAAUCUAUAUAGUCUUAUCACGGAAUGACGAAAGUGAAAAAUGAUAAAAGAAUAAUGAAAGAGCAGAAAAAUAAAAAGAACAGAUCAGAAAAUUGCCUCGCUUAUAUAUAACAAAUAUUCUUUUUCUCUUCGUUUAAACGAACCUUUUUAGGCAGAAUCAAGUGGCAGGCUCAAAUACGAAUUGUUUCUAGAAACAAUUUUUAAUGUACACACUCGGCUCAUAUCUUCCAAGCGAGUAAUAUAUCUAAUUGGCUCAACACACACACACACGCGCACACAC